AGCCCAGUCUGUCAAUUUUAUGUGGUUCACCUUGUGUUUGUUCCUCCCGUGUCUGACUUUGGACUGUUUAUACUGCGUGUGAUUCUCUGCUGCCUGCCCGACCUCUGCCUGGUAUUGUUGCUGUUUCUGGAUAUCCCUUGACACACUUGAUGCUGUUCCUGAUUUCUGCCUGUCUGGCCAUUCUUUAAUAAACUACUGCAUAUGGAUCCGAACAUCUCUGACUCUGCAUUACACCCAGUUAUGUGUCGAGAUGUAACAGGUAGUAUAGUCAUAAACAACUGAAUUUUAGUAUUUACUGAGUUUAUUAAUGUCUAAUUUUGCUCGUCUACACAACUCAUCCAGGCAAAAUAGCCCCAGUUGGCUGUCUAGGCAAAGCAGGUAAAAUGUUCACAAAUUAUUGAAGUGUGCUAUAUUUAUUUUCCAUUGUCUAAUUUUAACUUUUUCCACAAUUUAUCUGACCAGAGCAGCCCCCAUUUGGCUCUCCAGUCAAAGCAGGUAGUACAUCCACAAAUGGUUUGCUCUACUAUUUAUUUUUUGUAUUUUAUGUAUUUAUUAAUUUUUCAUUGUCUAAUUUUAUACACAAUUCGUCCAGGCCAAACAGCCCCCGUUUGAGUAUCCAGGCAAAGCAGGUACUACAUUCACAAAUAACCAAAGUGUGCUAUAUUUAGCAAGUUUCCUUUUUGUGUAAUUUUACUCUUCUACACGAUUCAUCAAUGCCAAGCAGCCCCAUUUAGUUGUCCAGACACCGCAGACCCAAUUUGGCUCUCCAGACAAAGCAGGUAAUGCAUCCACUAAAAACUAAACUGUCAUUUACUUGCGGAGUUUCCCUCUGUUUAGUCUUAGUAAUUUGCACAAUUCAGCUAGGCUCAGCAAUACCAUUUCACCAAUCCCACACUCUUCAGAAGAAAGGUUCCAUUGUGUUCAAAGUCGUGUCCUCUGCAGACCUUCCUUGACAUUCUAAACUUACUCCAGUUUACUAAAGCGAUGGAAGGCAAACCAAAAAACACUGUCCCCCAGUCAGUAGUUGUCUACAUCCACAACUAAACUGAUACAAGGAUCAAAACAGCCAUACUUUGAAGCAGAAAUGAACACUUCGUACCAGGGAGUGAAUGUCAAGGCAAAGGUUCUACAGAAGAGUCAAGGACACAACUUUGUUCAAGAUUUCUCCUUAAUACCACCCAGAUAGCAAGCACAGCACAGAGUGUCGGCACAAUCGGUUGGAGUCCGGGUCGGCUGAAAUACUGUCUCACGUGGUCUGGCAUCUUUUAGUCGGACUAAGUGCAUUAAUAGUAUCUGGCCCUAUUAUGGCUUAAGGAUACGUCCCAGUGCAUCUAUGAGAUGUUUCUUGCAUAGUAUGGUGAAAUACUUGAUUGUUUUCUGAAUUGUUUAAUUUCAUCUGUGUGUGCAUUAAUAAUUAAUAAAUAAAUUAAGGUGUUCAUGUUAAGAUUCACUUUCACAGGUAAUUGAUGUUCAGAACUCAUUAAUAAAUGGUUCACAGGUGUUCACAUUACAUUAAGGUUCACA